rnacentral:rRNA from 1 species
UACGUAGGGGGCUAGCGUUGUCCGGAAUCAUUGGGCGUAAAGCGCGUGUAGGCGGCUCGGUAAGUCCGCUGUGAAAGUCGGGGGCUCAACCCUCGGAUGCCGGUGGAUACUGUCGGGCUUGAGUACGGAAGAGGCGAGUGGAAUUCCUGGUGUAGCGGUGAAAUGCGCAGAUAUCAGGAGGAACACCGAUGGCGAAGGCAGGUCUCUGGGCCACUACUGACGCUGAGAAGCGAAAGCAUGGGGAGCGAACAGG